rnacentral:rRNA from 1 species
ACGCUGGCGGCAGGCCUAACACAUGCAAGUCGAGCGGUAACAGGAAUUAGCUUGCUAAUUUGCUGACGAGCGGCGGACGGGUGAGUAAUGCCUGGGAAUAUGCCUUGAUGUGGGGGAUAACUAUUGGAAACGAUAGCUAAUACCGCAUAAUGCCUACGGGCCAAAGAGGGGGAUCUUCGGACCUCUCGCGUCAAGAUUAGCCCAGGUGGGAUUAGCUAGUUGGUGGGGUAAUGGCUCACCAAGGCGACGAUCCCUAGCUGGUUUGAGAGGAUGAUCAGCCACACUGGAACUGAGACACGGUCCAGACUCCUACGGGAGGCAGCAGUGGGGAAUAUUGCACAAUGGGGGAAACCCUGAUGCAGCCAUGCCGCGUGUAUGAAGAAGGCCUUCGGGUUGUAAAGUACUUUCAGUUGUGAGGAAGGCGGUAACGUUAAUAGCGUURCCGUUUGACGUUAGCAACAGAAGAAGCACCGGCUAACUCCGUGCCAGCAGCCGCGGUAAUACGGAGGGUGCGAGCGUUAAUCGGAAUUACUGGGCGUAAAGCGCAUGCAGGCGGUCUGUUAAGCAAGAUGUGAAAGCCCGGGGCUCAACCUCGGAACAGCAUUUUGAACUGGCAGACUAGAGUCUUGUAGAGGGGGGUAGAAUUUCAGGUGUAGCGGUGAAAUGCGUAGAGAUCUGAAGGAAUACCGGUGGCGAAGGCGGCCCCCUGGACA